AAAGACAAAGCCAGUGGAAUGGUCCGAGUGUGGCAUCCGCUGCAUUUAUAAAGAAUAAGAGCUGCAGUGGGUGUGAUUCUUGGACAGAGUGGCGCUCAUCCUUGUUCCUGCAAUGAAGGACAUGCCAGCCUCCAGGCUCUUUGACAGAUGAUUGGAACUGUGCAAAUAUUAUGGAAGAUACCCCGUGUCAAGAAGCUGACAGCACACACGUUUGGGAAGGAUUUAGUGGCUGAAGCACUUCUAGAAGAAUGCCAGAGCAAGAGUGUGAAACAGAGAGCACAGAGCCGUGAUGCUGCCCCCUGCCGGUGGUGCAGGAGAAAGGACGCAACCUCAGUCUACGACUCCUGCCAAGAUUAUCAGCCACGCUAGAAACUAAAGGGUGAAAACAGGGUUUCUCUGCUGCAAUUCCAUCUCUUCCUCUAGAAACUUGUCGUAGGAAUGACUCCCUGUAACUUCCCACACCUGCCUCUUCUUUCUGUAAGUGUUGGCUAACAGAAUCCCCUCCUUCCUCGGUCCUUGCUAAGUGACUGAAUUCAGAAACUCCUGGACAAUAUUACAACCAUCCGU
ensembl:lncRNA PLCE1-AS1 PLCE1 antisense RNA 1